UGCGAACGGCUCAUUAAAUCAGUUAUCGUUUAUUUGAUAGUACCUUUACCUACUUGGAUAACCGUGGUAAUUCUAGAGCUAAUACAUGCUAAAAGUCCCGACCUCUGGAAGGGACGUAUUUAUUAGAUAAAAAACCAAUGCCCUUCUGGGCUUCUUGGUGAUUCAUGAUAACUUUACGAAUCGCAUGGCCUUGUGCCGGCGAUGGUUCAUUCAAAUUUCUGCCCUAUCAACUUUCGAUGGUAGGAUAGUGGCCUACCAUGGUUUCAACGGGUAACGGGGAAUUAGGGUUCGAUUCCGGAGAGGGAGCCUGAGAAACGGCUACCACAUCCAAGGAAGGCAGCAGGCGCGCAAAUUACCCAAUCCCGACACGGGGAGGUAGUGACAAGAAAUACUGAUACAGGGCCCAUCUGGGUCUUGUAAUUGGAAUGAGUACAAUUUAAAGCCUUUAACGAGGAACAAUUGGAGGGCAAGUCUGGUGCCAGCAGCCGCGGUAAUUCCAGCUCCAAUAGCGUAUAUUAAAGUUGUUGCAGUUAAAAAGCUCGUAGUUGAACUUUGGGUCUGGGUGACCGGUCCCCCGACUUGGGUGUGUACUGGAAACCCGGAUCUUUCCUUCUGGAGAACCUCAUGCCCUUCACUGGGUGUGUUGGGGAACUAGGACUUUUACUUUGAAAAAAUUAGAGUGUUCAAAGCAGGCUUUUGCUCGAAUACAUUAGCAUGGAAUAAUAAAAUAGGACGUGCGGUUCUAUUUUGUUGGUUUCUAGGACCGCCGUAAUGAUUAAUAGGGAUAGUCGGGGGCAUCCGUAUUCGAUUGUCAGAGGUGAAAUUCUUGGAUUUUUCGAAGACGAACUACUGCGAAAGCAUUUGCCAAGGAUGUUUUCAUUAAUCAGGAACGAAAGUUGAGGGAUCGAAGACGAUCAGAUACCGUCGUAGUCUCAACCAUAAACUAUGCCGACUAGGAAUCGGGCGAUGUUUUCAAUUUGACUCGCUCGGCACCUUACGAGAAAUCAAAGUUUUUGGGUUCUGGGGGGAGUAUGGUCGCAAGGCUGAAACUUAAAGGAAUUGACGGAAGGGCACCACCAGGAGUGGAGCCUGCGGCUUAAUUUGACUCAACACGGGGAAACUCACCAGGUCCAGACACAUUAAGGAUUGACAGAUUGAGAGCUCUUUCUUGAUUAUGUGGGUGGUGGUGCAUGGCCGUUCUUAGUUGGUGGAGUGAUUUGUCUGCUUAAUUGCGAUAACGAACGAGACCUUAACCUGCUAAAUAGCCGGGCUCGCUUUUGCGAGAUUCUGGC
rnacentral:rRNA from 1 species